UACAGAGGGUGCGAGCGUUAAUCGGAAUUACUGGGCGUAAAGCGUGCGUAGACGGUUAUUUAAGUCGGGUGUGAAAGCCCUCAGCUCAACUGAGGAAGUGCGCCCGAAACUGCAGAGCUUGAGUACCGGAGAGGAUGGCGGAAUUCCCCAAGUAGAGGUGAAAUUCGUAGAUAUGGGGAGGAACACCGGUGGCGAAGGCGGCCAUCUGGACGGAUACUGACGCUGAGACGCGAAAAGCGUGGGGAGCAAACAGG
rnacentral:rRNA from 1 species